CAACUACGUGCCAGCAGCCGCGGUAAGACGUAGGGCGCGAGCGUUGUCCGGAUUUAUUGGGCGUAAAGAGCUCGUAGGCGGCUUGUUGCGUCGUCCGUGAAAACCUGGGGCUCAACUCCAGGCUUGCGGUCGAUACGGGCAGGCUAGAGUUCGGUAGGGGAGACUGGAAUUCCUGGUGUAGCGGUGAAAUGCGCAGAUAUCAGGAGGAACACCGGUGGCGAAGGCGGGUCUCUGGGCCGAUACUGACGCUGAGGAGCGAAAGCGUGGGGAGCGAACAGGAUUAGAUACCCUGGUAGUCCACGCUGUAAACGUUGGGCGCUAGGUGUGGGGGGCCUCUCCGGUUUCCUGCGCCGUAGCUAACGCAUUAAGCGCCCCGCCUGGGGAGUACGGCCGCAAGGCUAAAACUCAAAGGAAUUGACGGGGGCCCGCACAAGCGGCGGAGCAUGCGGAUUAAUUCGAUGCGACGCGAAGAACCUUACCUGGGUUUGACAUGGCCGUUAAAGCCGUAGAGAUACGGUGUCCUUCGGGGGCGGU
rnacentral:rRNA from 1 species